GGAUCAGCCAGUGACAGCAGCAUGGCCUCUGACUCAGCUGCCUCUGUGUUCAACUCUUUUCCUUUAGAUUCCUCUCCAAAUCAUGGUAAAGAUGUCCCCAGCAGCUCCACACUACAUGAACCUCAGUACUCAUUCUCCCAGAGGGAGACUAAUUCUCUCCUGUGCAGUGUCCAUAUUAAACUCAGGUAUAUUGGAUUUCUAAAAUCAUGCUCUCACUCCUGGACUGUGGAAGGGAAAAACUUAUCAUCGAUCUGGAUCAUGCCCAUUCUGUAAAAUACCAGGACACCUGGAGAAGUCAUUAUGAAUAAAAAUAGGUCUGUUCCUCAACCCGAUUCCUUAGCAGGGGCAUUCAAACAUCAACAAGGACACUGCAAAUGCCCCAUGAAACCUGACCUGGGUUGGUGAUGGUGUCCCCAAGUGACAGAUUUACUUGGCUGCGCCACCGGAAUCUCUGAGUGGGAAGUGAAGGGACCCAGCGUGUGUCUGAGAGCUCUGUGACUGGCUCAGCCAACACCACCCAGGGAACAGUGCCUGAAACCCAACCGGCCUCGAGUCAGAGGUGGGGAAGCCCUAAAGAUGUGUUCCCAUGACUCACACUGUGACCUGCAAACAGCCAGUGGGUGCAAUGCCUAGGGAGCGUUGACUUAGCACGGUGACUUUGCCCCUGCCACUCCUGGGUGAUUUUGAUUUGGACUGAAACAAAACACAGACGAGAACAAAAUGUGAUGAAGAACUUGCCCUUUCUCUAGAAAAUCGAGGCCUUUGUAGAGUCAUGGGUUAGCUUCCUUAAGCUGCUCUGGAUGCUUGUGUUUACAGGGAACAUGAAAAUCCAGGAAACUCGGGCAGAGCUCAUAAACGUGGUGGAGGAAGAAAUAAAAAUAAAAUUAAAUUAAACUG